AUUGAACGCUGGCGGCAUGCCUUACACAUGCAAGUCGAACGGUAACAGGUCUUCGGAUGCUGACGAGUGGCGAACGGGUGAGUAAUACAUCGGAACGUGUCCGAUCGUGGUGGAUAACGAGGCGAAAGGUUUGCUAAGACCGCAUACGAGCUACGGAUGAAAGCGGGGGAUCUCCGGACCUCGCGCGGACGGAGCGGCCGAUGGGAGAUGAGGUCGUGGGUGGGAUAAAAGCUUACCAAGCCGAGGAUCUGUAACUGGUCGGGGAGUAUGAUCAGCCAAACUGAGCCUGAGAAACGGCCAAGCCUCCUAGGGGAGGAAGAAGUGGGAAAUUUUGGAAAAUGGGCGAAAGCUUGAUCAAGCCAUGCCGCGUGGAGGAUGAAGUCUUUCGGGUUGUAAACUGCUUUUGUACGGAACGAAAAGCCUCUUUCUAAUAAAGAGGGGUCAGAAGGGUACCGUAAGAAUAAGCACCGGCUAACUACGG
rnacentral:rRNA from 1 species